AGCGGCAGGCGGGUGAGUAACACGUAGGUGACCUGCCCUAAAGAUGGGGACAACGGAUGGAAACAUGCGCUAAUACCCAAUGGACCUGUACUGUCGAAGGUAUAGGUAAAGUUUCGGCGCUUUAGGAGGGGCCUGCGGCCCAUCAGCUAGUUGGUAGGGUAACGGCCUACCAAGGCAAAGACGGGUAGGGGGUGUGAGAGCAUGACCCCCCACAAUGGGACUGAGACACGGCCCAUACUCCUACGGGAGGCAGCAGCAGGGAAUAUUGCACAAUGGACGGAAGUCUGAUGCAGCGACGCCGCGUGGAUGAUGAAGGCCCUCGGGUCGUAAAAUCCUUUUCAGGGGGAAGAGGAAGGACGGUACCCCUGGAAUAAGCGUCGGCUAACUACGUGCCAGCAGCCGCGGUAAGACGUAGGACGCAAGCGUUAUCCGGAUUUACUGGGCGUAAAGCGUCUGUAGGCGGUUGGGUAAGUUGGGCGUGAAAGCUCCGUGCUCAACGCGGAGAGGUCGUUCAAUACUGCCGAACUAGAGGACAUCAGAGGAGCAUGGAAUUUCCGGUGUAGCGGUAAAAUGCGCAGAUAUCGGAAGGAACACCAGUGGCGAAGGCGGUGCUCUGGGGUGUGCCUGACGCUGAGAGACGAAAGCUAGGGGAGCGAACAGGAUUAGAGACCCUGGUAGUCCUAGCCCUAAACGAUGGAUGCUAGAUGUGGGGCCGAGAAGGCUCCGUGUCGCAG
rnacentral:rRNA from 1 species